rnacentral:rRNA from 1 species
UACGUAGGUGGCAAGCGUUGUCCGGAUUUACUGGGCGUAAAGAGCGCGCAGGCGGUCUUGUAAGUCGGCUGUGAAAGCCCCUGGCUCAACCAGGGAGGGUCAUUCGAUACUGCUUGACUCGAAGGCAGGAGAGGGAAGUGGAAUUCCGGGUGUAGUGGUGAAAUGCGUAGAUAUCCGGAGGAACACCAGUGGCGAAGGCGACUUUCUGGCCUGUUCUUGACGCUGAGGCGCGAAAGCUAGGGGAGCAAACGGG